CUACGGGGCGCUCCAGUGAGGAAUAUUGCACAAUGGGGGGAACCCUGAUGCAGCAACGCCGCGUGGAGGAUGACGCAUUUCGGUGUGUAAACUCCUUUUAUAUGUCAAGAAAAUGACGGUAGCAUAUGAAUAAGCACCGGCUAACUCCGUGCCAGCAGCCGCGGUAAUACGGAGGGUGCAAGCGUUACUCGGAAUCACUGGGCGUAAAGGACGCGUAGGCGGGUUGGAAAGUCAGGUGUGAAAUCCUACAGCUUAACUGUAGAACUGCACUUGAAACUUCUAAUCUAGAGUAUGGGAGGGGGAGAUGGAAUUAGUGGUGUAGGGGUAAAAUCCGUAGAUAUCACUAGGAAUACCUAAAGCGAAGGCGAUCUCCUGGAACAUUACUGACGCUAAGGCGUGAGAGCGUGGGGAGCAAACGGGAUUAGAUACCCCCGUAGUC
rnacentral:rRNA from 1 species